rnacentral:rRNA from 1 species
UGGGGAAUUUUGGACAAUGGGGGAAACCCUGAUCCAGCCAUCCCGCGUGUGCGAUGAAGGCCUUCGGGUUGUAAAGCACUUUUGGCAGGAAAGAAACGUCGUGGGUUAAUACCCCGCGAAACUGACGGUACCUGCAGAAUAAGCACCGGCUAACUACGUGCCAGCAGCCGCGGUAAUACGUAGGGUGCAAGCGUUAAUCGGAAUUACUGGGCGUAAAGCGUGCGCAGGCGGUUCGGAAAGAAAGAUGUGAAAUCCCAGAGCUUAACUUUGGAACUGCAUUUUUAACUACCGGGCUAGAGUGUGUCAGAGGGAGGUGGAAUUCCGCGUGUAGCAGUGAAAUGCGUAGAUAUGCGGAGGAACACCGAUGGCGAAGGCAGCCUCCUGGGAUAACACUGACGCUCAUGCACGAAAGCGUGGGGAGCAAACAGGAUUAGAUACCCUGGUAGUCCACGCCCUAAACGAUGUCAACUAGCUGUUGGGGUCUUCGGACCUUGGUAGCGCAGCUAACGCGUGAAGUUGACCGCCUGGGGAGUACGGUCGCAAGAUUAAAAACUC